rnacentral:miRNA from 1 species
UCUCCUCUGAUCUCGGAAGCUAAGCAGGGUUGGGCCUGGUUAGUACUUGGAUGCGAGACU